GAAAGAGCCAGGCAUGACUCCGCACAGCACCCUGUGGGAUCGCAACCUCCACGCUCAUUCUUGCAGGCAGAGGGCCCUGCGUGUUAGAUUCCAAGCAUUUUUAAUUAAAAGGGACUGGCUGUUGACAGGAACAGCCAAGGAUCAGUAUCAACAGGGAUGCUGGGUAGUGGGGAGCCAGUGCAGCACCCUGCGUCCUAAAGAAAGAGGAUGUUUUCUCGGCUGUGUGCACAGGAUUGAGUGCCAGAGACCACAAUGACGCUGGAAAGCACAAGGUGGAAUUAAGUGACAUGCUGCUCAGGGUACAUUUCCAAAGGAGCAAUUUCAACAGGAGCUGCCAGUGCAGCAUGCCCACCCUCACUGGCAUGCAGUUUCUCAAGACAACCAAAUGGCUGGUGAUGCAGUUACACAGCUCUGCUUGUAAUUCAGACAGAAAACCACAGGAGCUGGUUUACAACCAUGGGAUAAGAGUAUUCUCCUCAUUCAAAAAGAUGUGUUACAGGCUUCCAAGCUACAGAAAGAGCCUGGCUGUGAUGCAUAGGCAUCUCAACUAGACACGCAUUAUCAUCAAACAAGAGCCUAGGGAGCCCAACUUCCAGCCCCACUACUUGAGAAGAGGUUUCCAAAAUGUGUCAUUGCAACAGGAUCCUGUAAACUGGAACUUCAGAGCUAAGAAUAACUAGAAAUGGAUGCCUCAGCACUGGGGAAAAUCUCACCAAGACGCCUACCCUGCUCCCAAGGUUGGAUUCUCUCAAUGACCAGAGAUCGAUUGCUGGUGAGUUGCUUCUAGCCCCAGUGUUGGUUGGUGCAGUCUCGUGUACACACCUUCAAAGUCUCUGUCAUCCCUUGCCUGUACUCCUCUAACUGAGGCUGCACUACAGAUUCACAUCAUCAAGGCAAGUAAAGCAGGAUGGGAUGGAUCAGGAAUGCAGGUUUCAUCAAGCGUGAACACUGCAGAAAUCAACAAGAAACAGCAAGAGACUAUUUCCAGCCUAGAAACAAAUGAGCCCCUAAGGAUACGAGAAGCAGGGACACGGGGUGGUCACUGGCAUGCACAUAAUACAAGAGAAGAGCAAAUAGUGCCUGAAGACAGACUUCCAGAGAUGUUCUCUAAUAAAUUUCUAGUUCCUUAGCAUCUGAGUGCUAAGGAAAUCUGCACACUAAGUGUCAUCUGCUACCUGCAAGCUACGUGUUUGUGUGCACACCUAUGUUCUUAAGCCAAACAAUUUAUUUGAUUCUAGAGGGACUAUGAAGUCAGCCACAACACAGUCGCUGUGAUCUUGACAAGCAUUGGGCUAGAAAAACUACACAAAAAUGAUGAAUUUCAGUAAAACCUUCUUGAGGCCAAUACUUGAGCAGAUGGUGAGCAGGAAAGCCGUACAACAAGAAACAUUGAUGCUUCAAUCAUGCUUAGAGUUUUGGGAACUCAAUGGGCGGGCAACAAAAUCAUCACAGGCAAGGCAACCAUAGAUGUCAUUGCAGUUUCACAGCUUUUAGCAGGUGGGAAUUUUGUAAUUCAAUCCCAGAGUAAAUUAGAGCAGAUGGACACCUAUAGGUGUAUGGUUAGCCCUACUGCUAAUUCAUAGAUUACAUAAGAUUAUAGCAGAUCACAUUUUUUAUUAUAUUAGAAAAAUUAAAGAAAGAGAGAAUUCAGUAUCCAAACACCUAACUGGGAUAGGCUGGAAAUAUGUUCAGAAUGUGGAAUAUUGAAAAGCUGAGAACAAGGACGUCUUGAGGCCUCCCACAUCAAACACUGUAAAUGUCAGAAGGAUUCCUGCUGGACACAAAGUGACAGAGCCAUUAAAGAAAUCCUGAAACCAAAGGACAUGAAGGGAAUCCAGCAAUUUCUAGGAAAGACAACUGUUUUUCCAAAUAUUUCUGAGUAGGCCUGCUAGAAAGCUUAUGAACCCUUAAGAAAAUUAAUGCUGUAUAAAACAUUUCCUUCCCAUGCAUAUGGGAAGCCUUAUGGAUCUGCCACUAACCAGCUAUUUCAGUGGCUUAGCUGAAUGAGGAGAGAAUUCAUUAAUUACAUCCCCUGACAACUGGAAGCUGUAAAAAGCUGCAAGCACUUGGGGAUCAAGAGAAAAUUCAAAACAAACUUAACAAAAUGGAGAUACAUUCUGAGAAAAUGCAACGAAACUCAGUACAAAGGACAAAAUGCAAUACUGCAAGAAUAAUACAUAAACACUAGACAGUGAAUUGGCUGGGCAGCAACCCUGCAGAAGAGGUUCUGGAGCAUUGGGGUAGGGGGGGGAAUAGGACCCAAGCACAAAUCAAUAAUACCAAAUUGCAGAGAAAAAAAAAAAAAAAAGAGCGUAAUG